AUGAUGCCAUUUUUAAGGAAGCCAGCAUGGCUGAAACUCUUUCCAGUUCCAGAACCGGCUGCCAAGACUUUCAAAGGUUCCAGGUUGGAUAUCAUCGUAUACUGUAAGUUGGAAUCAGACACUACAGUAUAGAUGAUGUACUACCUUGAUUUCCUUGUCCACCUGACCACCAAGAUCUUAAAGCCCUCAGAUGCAGUAUUGGGUAGGAGAUAGAGAACAGGUUCAUUUCUUAAUCUUAAAGUGCCUAUCCUAUCUAGUUCUAGAGAGGUGAGAACUGUCUGUGAUUACUCAGCGAUGGUGAAAGUGCAAAGGAACUCUGCAUACAUACUCAGCAGCAACAUCUUUAUUCUGCAGUGAUUCCAGGGCUGAGUUCUGGCACUCCCAAGAUGCUCAGAAGCUAAGCCUGGGUGAUCACCCACCUACUGUAAACCCUGCAUUUCUGUGCAACAGGGUAGCCUACAGAAGGCUUAGAAGAGUGUCAAAACAGCUGAGAUGAAACACCAAACCACCCCCACCUGGCAAGCCUGCUUUGAGACAAACUUUGUGGUGUGUCGGUAAAACCGUUACCAUUACUGAGUUUAGUAAUGGUAAUGGUUAUUCUGCCACCCCAGCCCACAUCCAGAAGUUGGGGAGCACCAUCCUCCAGUUUGACAUCUCCUUUCCAGAAGAUAUCUCUCCUAUGCGGCUGUCAAAAAUAAAAAAUAGCUCCAGAAC